UGCCUUAAGGUGUAGUGGCAGAGUACGUGUCCGCGGGUAGGAUGAAACGCGGGUUCGAUUCCCGCCUGAGGCAU